AGCGAACGCUGGCGGCAGGCCUAACACAUGCAAGUCGAACGAAGUCUUCGGACUUAGUGGCGGACGGGUGAGUAACACGUGGGAACGUACCUUUUGGUUCGGAACAACUCAGGGAAACUUGAGCUAAUACCGGAUGAGCCCUUAGGGGGAAAGAUUUAUCGCCGAAAGAGCGGCCCGCGUUAGAUUAACUAGUUGGUGAGGUAAAGGCUCACCAAGGCUACGAUCUAUAGCUGGUCUGAGAGGAUGAUCAGCCACACUGGGACUGAGACACGGCCCAGACUCCUACGGGAGGCAGCAGUGGGGGAUCUUGCGCAAUGGGCGAAAGCCUGACGCAGCCAUGCCGCGUGAAUGAUGAAGGUCUUAGGAUUGUAAAAUUCUUUUACCAGGGACGAUAAUGACGGUACCUGGGGAAAAAGCCCCGGCUAACUUCGUGCCAGCAGCCGCCGUAACAC
rnacentral:rRNA from 1 species